AAAGUAGUGAUGCUUAUUUUUCCAUUACAAAGAUGCUUAGAACCCAUGGUGCAUAAAAUUUAACUCCCUAGGAUUUGAAAAUAACAAGGGCAGGGAAAAUAUUCUGGAGAAGCUUCUCCCAGAAAUUAGAACAGAAGAAAGAGAACUCCCGAGCUAGCAGCCGGGAUUCUCUUACUCAUUUUUGCGCCCAACACUUUCCAUCUUAAUGCUGCCUACAUCUCCUUCCUUUUCCAUCUCUUCUGCACAAAUGCACACAUCCACAUGUGUGCCCGUACACACACUCUUACAGACUGUUAAUGGAAUAAUUCCUUCAAAUUGGAAAUGUAAAAGAAGUCAACUUUUCUGGGAUUUUGUGAUAUGCUUUCAAGACAAAUGAUUCCUGGUGGGAAAUAUGAGCAGAGUAGUCAUUGGAUUUGGCCAUCUCUUAAUUAUGUAAGCAUAAUAUUUUGCCUGAACAACACACGAAUAGAGCUAUAUGGGUCAAAAUUUUCUCCAACUAUUAACAAUAGAAUUCUAAAACACCACUUGGACUAUCCUUGAAGAAGGACUAAAUAUUUGUCAAACUGUCCGUCUACAAAACAGCCAGUAAUAAACAGUAAUGCUGGAUAAUUUCAUAGUGUCUUAACAGGCAUUUUUCUCAGUAUCUUUUAUGGUUCAUACAUAAGUAAAAUAAAAGGAAAAUUUUAGAGGUGGUAGAAUACUACUUUCAAAAAUAAUGAUUCUGCUCCCUGGCAGUACAUCAGAAUCCCUUAUGAGCUUUGAAAAAUAUAUACAGGUUGAUGUUCAACACAGGAGAUUAUAAUUCAAUCACUGAUUAAAUAAAUAUUCGUCAGGCACCUUCUAUGUAACUGCCAUUGUUCUAAGUGCUGAAUUCAGUACGUUUGGGGCAAAACAUGAAACAUCUGGAUUAUUGGCAAAAUUCCACAAGUGAGAACAAUUGACAUGAACAUGCAUAAACCUAUUUUUCUAAUAAGAUUCAAUUUACACCUGACAUUUUCAUAAUUUUUUCCUUCUUUAAAUUCAUUUUAGCCCUCUCAUCUACAUUCACAGAAUUAAACAAUAAACCUUUGAGGCGUUUCAGUUCACGCUCCCUCCCGAAUUCAGAAUCUUCACCAUUAAACUCCUGAUACAAAAUUGUCCAAAUUCUUCUAAAAUUCUUAAAUAACCGGUAGUAACUGAUUACUCUGAAGUCAGCCUGUUCCAUUGUGACAUAGAUCUAAAUUAAAAAAAAACAAAACAAAAAAAAAAGCUUUUCUUUGUUAAGAAAUGACGUUUACUUGGUAAAUUGCAAAUAAAUCUCCAUUCCCUUGAGACAACGCAUCUUUUAUUUUUCAUAUCUUUUGUAUAUGUUCAGGCUCAGUACCGUUUUCUCAACCCCUUAUGACUAGUUUUAUUCUCAUUUAAGCCAUUUAUAAAUGCACUUUAUGUGUUAAACAAUGAUGAGAUGUCUUCAGGUUUAUAAAAUAAUGCCAUAUAAAAUUGUCUAUAUAGAUAACUAGAAAUUGACACAAAUUUCUAUGGAAAUUAUUUGCAGUAACUUUAAGUGUAUUCCUAGAACAUAGCAAUAAUUUUAAAUUAAAUACUUAAAAUAUAUUUCAUGAUACGAAGAUACUAUAUAAAACCCUACAAAGUAAUAUGAAUUAGAAAAACUCUUAGCCAAAUGUAAAUCAUAUUUUUAGAAUAAAGCUAUAAGAAAAAUAUAAUGAACGAAGUGGUUUUAUUUUAAUAGUUGGCUUCUCGCUGAGGUAGCUUCAGCAAAGGUGCCUUCAGUAGCCCCACCAGCAUACACAUUAUCCAACCUGGCUUGUUAAUGUAAACAAAGAGAAAAGGAGCUGCGGGUUAGAGGCCGGGAAAGGAUUCAGAUGUAAGGCUGUGUAUAAACAUGCUUGAAAAGUUUUGCACUCUUUCACUUUCACCUCUCUGAAUUAUGCAAUAGCCAUUCCUUAAUUCCUUAAAUUUAUAUUUUAGCAUAUGGCAGAUGAUAAUACUGGGGGGCGGGGGGGGGGAAUAGAGUGAAGUAGUCCAUCAUUUUAUGAAUAUUAUAUAACAUGCUGUGGAAAAGAAAAGAAAAAGAAAAUGUGCCACAUAUUUUCAGUGUGCCAUCUUAAUAUCACAUACAGUGACUUUAUUGUUAGUGAGCCAAACUGUUUAAAAGACUACCAAAAAAAAAAAAGGUAUUGCUAUUUAAUGGUGUUAACUAUUUUUCUGUACAUUUAAAACACGUCUUCCUGAGUCUGAUGUCUGUCUGUCUUCCUGUCCAGAUGAUGUCAUAUUUUUUCAGGAAACUAUGCUGAAAGUAUAUUUACAAAUGUAUGCAUGAUUUUAUCAACUUGUUUCUCAUGAUAUCGUCUUUAGUUCAUUUCUGCAACUAACAAACUCUCUAAUCAGAGUCGUUAACUCAUGUACAGUAUAUGGUAUUUAUCAUGUAACUGUAGAUAAUUUGAUCAAAAACAAUAAAAAUUAACACUUUUCAAGAA